rnacentral:lncRNA from 1 species
GAUAGGAGAAUCAAUUUGGAUAUACAUAUAAAACAAAUAACAUAUAUUUAUUUAAAAUAAACAGGAAAUAAAAGAUAAUAUUAAUAUAUUUCCUUCAAGAGAGCUACUUGAUAUGAGAGAUCAUACCUGGGAAAGCGAGAGUAAAAGAAAUAUACUUCAAUCCUUCAUUAUUCUUUGUCUUUGUUCCCUAGUCCUAAUCAGAUGUCCACUGAUGGGACAGGGACAUGGAAUCACCCUUCACUGCUAUAUUUUUCCCAUCUUUUGUUUCAAGUCUCAGGGCAGAUUGACUUAAUUUAUGUUAGUCUAGCUCUGUUCCAGAUAAAACUUAUUGAUCUUUUCUUUCACCUUUUUCCCAGGAAAGAUGACGUCUUGCAUUUUCCUUUUUUUAUUUUUUUAUUUUCUUUUUUUAAUCUUUUGAGACACCUGCAUGUAAUGUAACUUUUUGUUUGAUCAUAUAUUUUUUAUCGUUUA